rnacentral:rRNA from 1 species
AAAUCCGGAAAAUCAAGGCUGAGGCGUGAUGACGAGGCACUACGGUGCUGAAGCAACAAAUGCCCUGCUUCCAGGAAAAGCCUCUAAGCAUCAGGUAACAUCAAAUCGUACCCCAAACCGACACAGGUGGUCAGGUAGAGAAUACCAAGGCGCUUGAGAGAACUCGGGUGAAGGAACUAGGCAAAAUGGUGCCGUAACUUCGGGAGAAGGCACGCUGAUAUGUAGGUGAAGUCCCUCGCGGAUGGAGCUGAAAUCAGUCGAAGAUACCAGCUGGCUGCAACUGUUUAUUAAAAACACAGCACUGUGCAAACACGAAAGUGGACGUAUACGGUGUGACGCCUGCCCGGUGCCGGAAGGUUAAUUGAUGGGGUCAGCGCAAGCGAAGCUCUUGAUCGAAGCCCCGGUAAACGGCGGCCGUAACUAUAACGGUCCUAAGGUAGCGAAAUUCCUUGUCGGGUAAGUUCCGACCUGCACGAAUGGCGUAAUGAUGGCCAGGCUGUCUCCACCCGAGACUCAGUGAAAUUGAACUCGCUGUGAAGAUGCAGUGUACCCGCGGCAAGACGGAAAGACCCCGUGAACCUUUACUAUAGCUUGACACUGAACAUUGAGCCUUGAUGUGUAGGAUAGGUGGGAGGCUUUGAAGUGUGGACGCCAGUCUGCAUGGAGUCGACCUUGAAAUACCACCCUUUAAUGUUUGAUGUUCUAACGUGGACCCGUGAUCCGGGUUGCGGACAGUGUCUGGUGGGUAGUUUGACUGGGGCGGUCUCCUCCUAAAGAGUAACGGAGGAGCACGAAGGUUGGCUAAUCCUGGUCGGACAUCAGGAGGUUAGUGCAAUGGCAUAAGCCAGCUUGACUGCGAGCGUGACGGCGCGAGCAGGUGCGAAAGCAGGUCAUAGUGAUCCGGUGGUUCUGAAUGGAAGGGCCAUCGCUCAACGGAUAAAAGGUACUCCGGGGAUAACAGGCUGAUACCGCCCAAGAGUUCAUAUCGACGGCGGUGUUUGGCACCUCGAUGUCGGCUCAUCACAUCCUGGGGCUGAAGUAGGUCCCAAGGGUAUGGCUGUUCGCCAUUUAAAGUGGUACGCGAGCUGGGUUUAGAACGUCGUGAGACAGUUCGGUCCCUAUCUGCCGUGGGCGAUGGAGAACUGAGGGGGGCUGCUCCUAGUACGAGAGGACCGGAGUGGACGCAUCACUGGUGUUCGGGUUGUCAUGCCAAUGGCACUGCCCGGUAGCUAAAUGCGGAAGAGAUAAGUGCUGAAAGCAUCUAAGCACGAAACUUGCCCCGAGAUGAGUUCUCCCUGACCCUUUAAGGGUCCUGAAGGAACGUUGAAGACGACGACGUUGAUAGGCCGGGUGUGUAAGCGCAGCGAUGCGUUGAGCUAACCGGUACUAAUGAACCGUGAGGCUUAACC